rnacentral:rRNA from 1 species
AUGGGCCUACGGGGGGGAGCAGUGAGGAAUAUUGGUCAGUGGACGAGAGUCUGAAACAGCCAAGUAGCGUGAAGGAUGACUGCCCUAUGGGUUGUAAACUUCUUUUAUAUGGGAAUAAAAUGUUCCACGUGUGGGAUUUUGUAUGCACCAUAUGAAUAAGGAUCGGCUAACUCCGUGCCAGCAGCCGCGGUAAUACAGAGGAUCCGAGCGUUAUCCGGAUUUAUUGGGUUUAAAGGGAGCGUAGGUGGAUUGUUA